GCGAAUUCUCUGAACCUUCUUCACCUUCCGGCUGCUCCAUAAAAAAAAUCAGAAAAAUGAUAAGAAAAAAAAUCAUUGAGAUUCCUAACCAAUAAUAUUUUAAUUCUUUACAUAUACUACGUCUAAACUGUUGGCUGCAGUGUAGAUGCAGUCCUGCUUAUCAGUACUUGUAUCUUAUAUACGAGAAGUUGGCGUGCGUAUUACAACAUUUUUAGCAUGCAGCCAUAUUAGCGGCUGUAAGCCGGAGGAAACAUGUUAUGCCCACACGAUAAGUACCUACCUUGUUUGUUUUGUUCGGUCCUGCAGAUCCGCCAGGAAGGUUCCUCGGCGUUUCUUUGUGUGAGGCUUGAAAGGCAGCGAGAUUAGUUCAACCUGCGAGUGCGGCUCAUGUUAGGGAUGCAUGAAUCGGCCGCCAUAGCCUACUUUCCGUUUUGUUUCUUGCGAAAAAAGACUUUUCUCCCGAUUAAAUUUUGUUAACAUAAUAAGCAGAAUCAAACAAAGUAGAGACGGUGGCGCGCUUAUCGCCGUUCACCGUCUGUCUGAUCUGAUCUCUUCGUAGAGUAGUAUCUUUUUCUCUUUGAAAAAAGAACCAUAUCAACUAAAAAAACAUAUUAUAGGGUCCCACGUGGGGUGCAUGCAUAUGCAUAGGAUAUCACAGUUCUCUCCUAGAGUGGUGAGCAACUGUACUCACAGAGUCACAGGUAGAGUUUUGUGCUUCUGCACGUACGGCAGCGCUCAUGCAUGUCUACGGUCGGGUCUAUAUAUUAUAUGCGUACCUUCGUUGAUGAAGCCUCCGGUGCAAGCACGCAGCUUCUUCUCCGGCGACGGGGACGACGAGCGCUUGAGAAAGGAAACGACCAGCGCGUCUAAGACGGGAACGAGCGCCACCUCUAGCCCGGACGACACCUCGACGAAACCGGAGAGGCCUCCAGACAUUUACAGGGCGAAUCCGCUCGGGCAGGCUGCGUAUGGCGAGCUCGCCGGCCGGCAGGAAGACAGAGGUGGAGGAGAAGGAAAUGGAUGUGUGCUUGUGGGGUGAGCCGGGGGUGGGGUGGCCGCGUAUUUAUGGGCGUCGGGAGGGGGAGCGGAGCGGCUGGUCAGUGGUCACCGGCUGGGUGGAGUCGCGGUGUUGGUGACUAGUACUACAGUACGUUUUGGUUUUCUCCUGCGGGGGAAAGGAGCCGGCCGACACAUGUGGCAGCGUGCAUGGCCCGUGACAGCUGGUUUCUCGACUGCUUUGCUCGGAGAUC
rnacentral:lncRNA from 1 species